rnacentral:tRNA from 1 species
GGUAGCAUGGCCGAGCGGUCCAAGGUGCUGGAUUAAGGCUCCGGUCUCUUCGGAGGCGAGGGUCGAAUCUCUCCGCUGCCA